UUUUUUUUUUGUCCCGUUCGUUGCCUCUGAUCUGCUUCAAGUAUUCAAGACUCCGGCUUUUCUGUUGAGUCCUCAAAGUGCGACACACACACACACACACACACACAGAGAGCUGGAGGGGAGUAAUGUGACUCCCACAUAGUCCGCCACCUCUACUGUUUCCACCCUCCACGCCCAUGUCGCCCCACUUGCCUCCUGCACACAGGCGUAGUCACAGUGUUGAUGUCACUCUGCUGAGACCCCCCCCCCCCCUUUUUUUUAUUUUUUUGAGUAACAGCCUAAAGAUGCGGCAUGGCUUACGGGGUAGACGCACAUUCACCGCCUCAAUAACCCCAGGGAGCGCAGCAGGGCGCAACGGGCGAAGGCUCGAAAACGGUGUAGCAAAUUAAAUUCCGUCUCCCUCUUCAUGCUCCCCUUGGACGUCUGCAUGAUGGAACAGUCAAAGGAGAACAGGGGCAAGGGAAUCUGGAAGAAAAGAGCCCAUUUCCCAUGCAUUACUGCCUCUUUCCUCAGGUUCAUUGCCACAAGUUUCACGCUGCUCAUGUGAUGCAGCCUCAUUCCGCGGCGUUGUGUCAUCCACUGCGCAGCCGUGUUCUUUCAUCGGCGUCCGAGUCGCUUGGUUCUUGUGAUCGACAGGCCGGGUUAGCAUGGGCGAGUGCGAUUCUGAGGGAAAGCUGUUUGUAGUCCCGACUGAUGGGGGGCGCCCCGGGCCACCGGCGUGCGAUGAAACAGAAGGCUGAGCUUCAAAACCUUGCUGCUGGAUAAUCGAGAGCAAUGAAUUAGUGGUACCGUAAAGACAACACCAUCGGGGGGGGGGGGGGGGGGAAUUGCAGAAUGGGUUCAUUUGCAGGAAUACAAGUGCAAUGCUUGAUUUCUUCAUCGGUUUCUUCUUUUUCUCUCUCCCUCUGGCUGCCAUUGACAGUAAUGUCUUCUCACGUGACCUAAAAGCCAUCUUUUGCUGCUCGGGGAGGGGGGGGCGGCUCUAAGGUGGAGCUCGAAAAACGAUGCCGACCGCUCCGGUCUGAAGAAUCCAAGAAUAUAUUAAGAUUAUGUUGUGUGCAGUCACGGUGUAUUAUGCCGAGUCAUAAUGUUUACUUUCCUUUUUUCCUUCCCAAAUCCACAUCCAUCGCCAAUGACACCCACAGCGCUCACGCCCCGUAUCCGCCGGGCCGAUAGUGACACCGUUUGCUCCCGUCUCUGCUAGCUGAGCGGGCGCAGUCCCGUCACCUGAGGUGGAAACCCGCCUCCUCUGAGGAAUGCAGGGCGGGUGCAGAGCGUCCGUGGGUUCAGCUGUCGCGCCCCGUGCCGACAGCGAGGCCACAGCUUGUGUCCGUCUCUGUUGUCGGAGGCGUUGUAAAGCGCGGUGAGAUAUUUAUGGUUUGCUUCGCUGUGGGGGUUUCAUGCCUCUUUUUUAAAUGAGAAUUCAGAGUCACGGCGGUCCUGUUGUGUUUAUAUAAGAUUAGAAGCGUAUAACAUCUUAUUUCAAACGUUAGGGCUUGUCAUCUAUUCCACAACAACAUGUUCCUCCCAAACAGGACACCUUAAACCUCUUGUACGACACAUUUUCUAAGAUUCUUAUUAGUGGUUAUGGUUUUUUUGGACAAGGUGGCUUCAGGUCACUUGGGCUGCCGGCAGCCGGGGGACAAUUUUCUUUUUCCACUCCUCAAAACCACUCGCAUUUUUCAAACCAAUGAAAUCAAGCAAAAUACUUCUAUGCUCCAGGAGUCACAAAAUCAUACAGGGCCCUUCAACAAACUGCAACCACUCCACCUGAUAAAAUAAACAGGAUAAAAGGAAGGAACUACCCAUUAUUGGCAAUCUAGCAUUUUUCUUUUCAACUUUCUUUCUACUUUCUUUUUUUUUUUUUUUAAGGGAACUUUUCAGGGCAGUUUCCCCCUGAUCCCUUACAGAGGGAGGGUUCAACUUGAGGUCAUGACGAAAAGGGGUCGCCUUUUUAUUCCAGCAAUGCAACGUCCCAGAGGUCACUUGCUCUCACCUAGUGACGCGGUACCAGAC
ensembl:lncRNA